UCGACGAUUGCAGAGUUCUCGGAGUCACGAAGAGUUUGAUCCUGGCUCAGGACGAACGCUGGCGGCGUGCCUAAUACAUGCAAGUCGAGCGAGCAGAACCAGCAGAUUUACUUCGGUAAUGAUGCUGGGGACGCGAGCGGCGGAUGGGUGAGUAACACGUGGGGAACCUGCCCCAUAGUCUGGGAUACCACUUGGAAACAGGUGCUAAUACCGGGUAAGAAAGCAGAUCGCAUGAUCAGCUUAUAAAAGACGGCGUAAGCUGUCGCUAUGGGAUGGCCCCGCGGUGCAUUAGCUAGUUGGCAAGGUAACGGCUUACCAAGGCAAUGAUGCAUAGCCGAGUUGAGAGACUGAUCGGCCACAUUGGGACUGAGACACGGCCCAAACUCCUACGGGAGGCAGCAGUAGGGAAUCUUCCACAAUGGACGCAAGUCUGAUGGAGCAACGCCGCGUGAGUGAAGAAGGUUUUCGGAUCGUAAAGCUCUGUUGUUGGUGAAGAAGGAUAGAGGUAGUAACUGGCCUUUAUUUGACGGUAAUCAACCAGAAAGUCACGGCUAACUACGUGCCAGCAGCCGCGGUAAUACGUAGGUGGCAAGCGUUGUCCGGAUUUAUUGGGCGUAAAGCGAGCGCAGGCGGAAGAAUAAGUCUGAUGUGAAAGCCCUCGGCUUAACCGAGGAACUGCAUCGGAAACUGUUUUUCUUGAGUGCAGAAGAGGAGAGUGGAACUCCAUGUGUAGCGGUGGAAUGCGUAGAUAUAUGGAAGAACACCAGUGGCGAAGGCGACUCUCUGGUCUGCAACUGACGCUGAGGCUCGAAAGCAUGGGUAGCGAACAGGAUUAGAUACCCUGGUAGUCCAUGCCGUAAACGAUGAGUGCUAAGUGUUGGGAGGUUUCCGCCUCUCAGUGCUGCAGCUAACGCAUUAAGCACUCCGCCUGGGGAGUACGACCGCAAGGUUGAAACUCAAAGGAAUUGACAGGGGCCCGCACAAGCGGUGGAGCAUGUGGUUUAAUUCGAAGCAACGCGAAGAACCUUACCAGGUCUUGACAUCUAGUGCCAUCCUAAGAGAUUAGGAGUUCCCUUCGGGGACGCUAAGACAGGUGGUGCAUGGCUGUCGUCAGCUCGUGUCGUGAGAUGUUGGGUUAAGUCCCGCAACGAGCGCAACCCUUAUUAUUAGUUGCCAGCAUUAAGUUGGGCACUCUAAUGAGACUGCCGGUGACAAACCGGAGGAAGGUGGGGAUGACGUCAAGUCAUCAUGCCCCUUAUGACCUGGGCUACACACGUGCUACAAUGGACAGUACAACGAGAAGCGAGCCUGCGAAGGCAAGCGAAUCUCUGAAAGCUGUUCUCAGUUCGGACUGCAGUCUGCAACUCGACUGCACGAAGCUGGAAUCGCUAGUAAUCGCGGAUCAGAACGCCGCGGUGAAUACGUUCCCGGGCCUUGUACACACCGCCCGUCACACCAUGGAAGUCUGCAAUGCCCAAAGCCGGUGGCCUAACCUUCGGGAAGGAGCCGUCUAAGGCAGGGCAGAUGACUGGGGUGAAGUCGUAACAAGGUAGCCGUAGUCCUGUGUGAAGUGAUCCGCUAACUCUAGAGGAUCCCCGG
rnacentral:rRNA from 1 species